rnacentral:lncRNA from 1 species
UCAAGUUUUAUUACAAAGUUAUUAUUACUAAUCCAAAAGUAAAAUAAAAUACAUCAUAACCCACAGCUAGAUCCAAACUGCCUAAUGCAAUCUUGAUAUCCAAUACAUCUAUUUUACCAAAUCCGAGUUCCAGAUUCCAAGGCCUUCUCUUAGAGUUUUUCAAAGUUCCAAGGAGCUUCAAGAGCCCAUGCAAUGCUUACACCCUAAAGAGUGAAUAUUGUAACAGAGUAGUGCAAUGUGUGGAAUUACCAGCCCUUAGGCGUCCAAGUUCAGAGGGAGCUCUAGGGUCCCUAAGCAUGGCUUACUAGAGGGAGGUAGAACUUAAGAGCUAAGAGUCGGUGUAAAGUGAGAGGGGAACCUUAGCAUGAGGUGGUCAUACCCAGCCAUGGCAUAGACUGGCACACCCCUAACCUCUUACUCAGAUUCAAACAAAUAAGAGCAGACUCUUAUAGAGUCAAACUCAUAUCUGAAUGAUGAUCAUGACACCAACAAGCCCAAAUUAGGGAUCAACACAUUGAGGGGAGAGGGAAUGGGAAAGUAAUCGAGUAAAGACUAAAAGAGUCUAGUUCUGGAUAACAGACAACAAUCCAUAGUGCUGCUAUGACCCAGGACGAAACUCACACAAAGGGGAUAGAGGGAGAGGGAUUAACAUAACAUAAGAGACAUAGCAUGUUGGAAGUUUAUUAAAUAAUGCAGGAAAGCAUAAGUAAACACACAAAGAAAGGGGUAAAAGCUGAGAAGUUGAACAAGGAUGCUAUUAAACAUAGAAGAACAUGUCAGUUAUAAAUUUCAGAAUAGCAGGAUAGUUACAGCAAACAGACAUCCAGGAAUAAUAGGAACAGACAAAAGAAAAACUCCCCAAGUAUUUGUGAGUUCAAGCAGCAGGAAGUGGAGAUGUAGAAUGCGCAGUACUAGUGCAGAGAAGUAGCGAGUAGUGAUAGUAGUAGUAAAGAAGAGAGAUGAAUUCUUAUUUUUG